GUCAGGAUGGCCGAGUGGUCUAAGGCGCCCAGAAGUUCUGGUCUUCGAAAGAGGGCGUGGGUUCAAAUCCCACUUCUGACA
rnacentral:tRNA from 1 species